rnacentral:rRNA from 1 species
UUCGCAGGCGGCGUAUUAAGUCAGUGGUGAAAUCUCUCGGCUCAACCGAGAAACUGCCAUUGAUACUGGUAUGCUAGAGUAUAGUUGGCGUAGGCGGAAUGUAUCAUGUAGCGGUGAAAUGCUUAGAUAUGAUACAGAACACCGAUCGCGAAGGCAGCUUACGAAACUAUAACUGACGCUCAGGAACGAAAGCGUGGGGAGCGAACAGGAUUAGAUACCCUGGUAGUCC